UUUUAGUCAGUUGCUAUUGAAAGACCCCCGGAGUGGGGAGACCCUCACUCAAGUCUCGGGAUGACGCGACCCCCCAAGAACUCACACAAGACC
rnacentral:pre_miRNA from 14 species